rfam:Cavia porcellus supercont2_2 genomic scaffold, whole genome shotgun sequence.
GCAAAGGCUCUUUUCAGAGCCACCCAUCUCAUCCAAAAAGAGCUUU